rnacentral:rRNA from 1 species
CAGUAGCCGCGGUAAUACGAAGGGGGCUAGCGUUGUUCGGAUUUACUGGGCGUAAAGGGCGCGUAGGCGGGCGAAUCAGUCAGGGGUGAAAUCCCAAGGCUCAACCUUGGAACUGCCUUUGAUACUGUUUGUCUUGAGUUCGAGAGAGGUAAGUGGAACUGCGAGUGUAGAGGUGAAAUUCGUAGAUAUUCGCAAGAACACCAGUGGCGAAGGCGGCUUACUGGCUCGAAACUGACGCUGAGGCGCGAAAGCGUGGGGAGCAAACAGGAUUAGAUACCCGGGUAGUCCCUGUCUCUUAUAU